rnacentral:rRNA from 1 species
UACGUAGGGUGCAAGCGUUGUCCGGAAUUAUUGGGCGUAAAGGGCUCGUAGGCGGUCCAUCGCGUCGGGAGUGAAAAGCUGGGGCUUAACCCCAGUCCUGCUUCCGAUACGGGUGGACUAGAGGUAGGUAGGGGAGAUCGGAAUUCCUGGCGUAGCGGUGAAAUGCGCAGAUAUCAGGAGGAACACCGGUGGCGAAGGCGGAUCUCUGGGCCUUACCUGACGCUGAGGCGCGAAAGCUAGGGGAGCGAACAGG